rnacentral:lncRNA from 1 species
CUUUGCAUCCACUUCUUGUGGCAAGAGCUGAGCCUCUUUGCUGCAAAUCUUGGACAGGAUCUUUGGUGAGUUCUUGCUGCACUUUUUCUAGGAUUUUUUGUAGCACUUGAAACUUGGUAAAUGCAAUGGCUUGAGUGCUUAAGGCUGGUUCUGGAAUUUUUUUUUGUACUAUUCUGGAAAUUUUUACACUGCAACAUGCUUUCUUUAUAUGUUUCACACUCCUCUUUGGCAUCAGGGAUAUUCUCCAAACAGACUUUAAUAGCCUAAGAACAAAGAAAUUUAAAGCACAUUAUGUCAAGCCCAGCUCUACAAUAUAUUUAUUAUACCAUUCCUACAUAAGAAUGCAUGUUUGCUUACUUGGGUACCUCGAAAAUCGUUAAAGGACGACAAUGUACCAAAUGGUACAAAUAAGUUGAAUUAAGCCUCGAACUAGUCCAAAUAGAGAUUUUAAGAUGAAAUUGAGAAUUUUAAAACCACAGAAUGACUUAAAAUGGUGAUUCGGAGUUCGAGGACUGAUUUGGAGUCAAAUUGAAAUUUUCAUGACUUAGGGGUAAAAUGGUCAUUUUGCCACCCGAGGUUAAGAUGUGAGUGUUGGAUGGAAGUUUUGACUAAGAUUGAUCAUUUGGAGUAUAAUUUGAGUUUGAGAAGUGAAGAAUUUUAAUUUUGACAUUUUUUCGAGCAUAGGGGUAAAAUAGUCAUUUUACCAUCCAAGGGCAAAAUCGUAAUUUUACACCACCCAACACUCGUCCAGCACAUGAAUUUUACCCAAUAUUAUCAUGGAUAAUUGAGAAAAUUUAAGUGGUGGAGAGAGAUUGCUUAAUGGGUAAGUAUGACACAUGGACCAAUAGAAUGGUGACACAUGAUAAAUUUUUGUCCAUUUAAUAUUUUCCUUUAUAAAGCCAAUUUGAACUCUUCCACAUUCAUUCUUAUGGCCGGUCAAAGCAAGAACAAAGGAAGAAAAGAAAGAACAAAACCCUAGGUGAAAAAAUUGAAGGAAAAAGUGUGAAAAUUCAAGGAAACAAGUGAAAAAAGAUAAGAUUUUUCAAUUAAGCUUGAGAUCUCUCUUUCUUAAGUAUUUUUUCUUAUUUUUCAUGGUUGAAUCAUAUGAAAUCAUGAUGAAUCCCUUGCUGGCCGAACACUUAGAGGGAGGUUUUGAUGCUUGAUUUGGUUAGAUUUCAAUGUAUUUUAGUGUUUUUAGUUAGUUAGUGAUGUGUAGAUGAAAAGUCAACAAGAAAAAUUCAUUUUCUCCCAUCACUCAUCAUUGGCUGAAUCUUCCAUGUAGAGUGUGGAUGGUGGAUUUGAUUUUAUUUCAAGUGAAUUGGUUAGGAAAUGAUGAAUUACGGUGAGAAAAUCAAGUAGGAAAAAUCAUAGUGUUGAUGCACCCACCAUGGCCAAAAUUUUCCAAGAGAAAAUGUGAAGAUGAUUUUGCUAAAUUUUAUGCUAUUUGACUUGUGUUUGAUGGUUUGGAGAAUUGGAAGAAAAAUGGAUUUAAUUGGAAUUGAAUUGGACAUAUUGGUCAAUUAAUCGAGUGAUAGAUCGAAUUAGGCCAAUACCGUUUUAUUUAGAUACACAAUUGAAUUUGUGUAGAACACCGUGGUUAGACGAUAAUUCGAACAAUUUGCAAUCCAUUUCAUGCAUCCAUAUAGUUUUGUAACGGUUUAGCACUAAUGUAGUAAAUUGCUUGAUUUUGCAUUAUGUCUAAGUGGUGAAUCCUCCGAUAAGGGCAAAGAAAUUGUACCCGAGGAUCGAUAGUCGGAGUACUCUAAAAAUUCGACUUCCAAAAUAAUGAGUAACCUUAUCAUCAUCUUGAUUAUCUGAAGUGAAUUUUAAUUCGUUUUUAUGAUUUUAUGAAAAUGAGUUUAAAUGGCAAAUCUUUAUGUUUUAUAAGCAAAAUGUGAAUAAAUGAAAUGAUUUUAUAAAAUUGUCUUGAAAUUGAAUGAUGGUUUUGAAAAUGGAGUAAUUGAAGACCAAUUGCUGUGUUAUAAAUUAUGAUUUGAAUUGAAUGGCUUAUGAUAAUAUUGGCAUGAACGGUUGAAUUGGUAAAUGUGCUGAAAAUGUAUGAACUGUUGAUUUGCCUUGAGAGGCUGUAAAAUAAAAUAAUUGUCAUGUCAUGCUAUUGCAAAUUUUAUUGUAUGGUGGGUUUAGCUUGCUGCAGUGGGCGGGUUUUGUGGACCAACCUUUUUUAAGGGCACAAAAUCUUGUCAUAUUCUUACCUCGAUUGGGGAGGUGCGUAGGGUAACUCCCGAGGUACACCUUUAGAGUUCACUUCACGCCAAACCACCACGUGAGGGUAAACUCAGCCAACACCAAGGAAUGGUUAUGUUUUCAAAAUAAAAACAUGAUUUAUGCGUACACGACUUUUUAACAGCCUUGGCGGACUCGGUUGGGAUAGCCCCAGGUCAAGGUAUCCCUGAUAAUUGAGUAUGAGAAUGAUAUUGGCACGAGUCAAGCUUUUCGAGAAAUCAUAAGCCUCGUUGUUUAUUUAGGUGAAAUGAAUCUAUUUUAUCUUAUUAAAAUCAGUUCGAAAUGCUGUGAAUCAUUUUUAUGCUAAUCUAUUUUAUCUGUCUUAAUUUACUUGGCUUUAGAUAUUUUAGAUGAUAUUUGUUUACUCAUUGGGAUUAUAUAAUCUCACCACCCUCCUUUCCACCCCUUUCAAGCUCAAGAUAGUCGGUAGAUAGCUCAUUUCAUUGAGGGUUACAGUUGGACUUGCAUCCUAAAAAACUGUAGGUUUACCGCUUUUGAUACUUUUGGUAGUUCGUGGGCCCACAUGUCACUGUAAAUUAAAUCUUAUGCUUUGGUUAUCUGUAUUAUAGUAUGUAUAAAUUUAUUUAGUUUUUACGCAAAAUUAUUUACUGGUAACUCUAUAAAUAUUGUUUUGUAAGAAAAUAAAAUAUUUUUAUUAUAUUCAAAUAGGUAUAGUUNAAAUGCCCCUAGUAAGAAAAAAAUUAUUUUUCUAUUGUUUUGAUUUGGAAAUAGUUUAUAAUCUCUCAAAACAUGAUACUUAACAACUGUUGCUCACAGGGGAGGUGCGAAAACUGAUAUUAAAACCUUGCGAGGUUCCGGUUGGCAUCCGAGCAAUGAAUGUCUAUCGGGACGUCGCAGCGGUUGUCACGGGCUCGAGGGGAGUACCGAGUCUUGACACAUUAACUCAGGAGGAAAUGGGAAGACAUAGUAGAAAUAAACAAUGUAAAAGCCCAAUUUGGGAUUAUCUCUGUUAAGCUAUGGUGAUGUAUAAAUCACUAUAUUUCAAAGGAAGAUUAAGACAUUUAGGUGGAUAUUUAAGAAACACAAUCUAGGGUUGUUGUCAAACAUGACUUGGUUAACUUUUUAUUUGAUUAAUUUAUCUUUCUAUUUGAGUAAAUAAAUAGUAAUUAAAAGACAUGUCUGUUACAAG